rnacentral:rRNA from 1 species
UAAUACGUAGGGGGCGAGCGUUGUCCGGAUUCAUUGGGCGUAAAGAGCUCGUAGGCGGCUUGGCAAGUCGGGUGUGAAACCUCCAGGCUCAACCUGGAGACGCCACCCGAGACUGCUAUGGCUAGAGUCCGGUAGGGGACCACGGAAUUCCUGGUGUAGCGGUGAAAUGCGCAGAUAUCAGGAGGAACACCGGUGGCGAAGGCGGUGGUCUGGGCCGGCACUGACGCUGAGGAGCGAAAGCGUGGGUAGCAAACAGGAUUAGAUACCCUGGUAGUCCACGCCGUAAACGUUGGGCACUAGGUGUGGGGCCUUAUCAACGGGUUCCGUGCCGUAGCUAACGCAUUAAGUGCCCCGCCUGGGGAGUACGGCCGCAAGGCUA